rnacentral:lncRNA from 1 species
UCCAGUCAGUGAUUAUGCUGCCCUGCUGUGGCACCAUCAUAAAUGAUUCUUUUUGUAAAAGGCCCAUUUUGGACUUUUUGAGAUCAUGCAGAAGCUGGAAUCAUCCUACCCAGAUUUCAGUGCAGGUUCUUCAUCCUUUCCCUGACACACGUGGCUGCCACAGGGGCAUGUGGAAGGAAAAGUGCCCAGCUGUGCUUCGAGAAACUCCUGGGAAAUGGUGAUGGUGGCACAAAGAGCACAGCACAAGAUUCCUGAAUAUUAGACAUUCUCCCUGCUGGCAGUUGCAGAGGUAUGAGCAAUGUGAUGGCACUCCCUCUUCGUUUCCUUGGCCACUCUUUAUGCCUUUAUUUUCAUCUAGACAUAUCCAAGGCUUGCAGUGCACUUCCUGUGGCAAGAGCCUCCAAGCAAUUAUGAGGUCUGCAAUGUCUCCUCCAAGCCUCUUCUUUUUCAGGAAUCUUUCUUGCAAUUACCAUGAUUCUAUUUCUCCUUUGUCAUGGCACGGAUGUGCAAUUUUCAUUUUGUGAAGGGACAUCAAAUGGGAGGCAGGAAAGCUUGGGGAAAUAGAAUUAGAUUUUUAAUGACAUUUCCUUUAGCCACAGUCUCACCUAUGCUUGUGGUCCAGCAGAAUUGAGUGAGGUGUCCCAUUUGUUGUUCUCUCAGCCCCAGAGCUACCAACAUCCAUAUCUGUGGGGUUUUUUGUUUUUUUUUUUUAAUGCAGGUUACUGAAGCAUUAAGCCUGAUCACUCUAGAUGCCCACUAGAGCUGGUGGUCUACUUGUGUGUAACCAGUGUAGCCAGCAAAAGGAAACAGAGUUCACUCAGCAUGCCCAGCUCUGGAAUACUCAGAAGAGGAAAUAGUCCUACUGGAGGAUUCCUACAGAAACCAAAGCCAAAAAGCAGUCCUGACUGGGAACUUCCUCCACUCAACUAUUUUGUUACAAGUGGCCCAAAGAAGAAUGACUUUCAUUUUUCAAUCCUUGUUGCAGCACCAGCUCUGGGUUAAGCAAUUGUUAUAGUGUGCUCAGGGCAUCAAACCAAAAAAAUCUGAGAGAGGGUGCCCAGAUGGAGAAUUCCCUGCGAUAACCUAAACCAAAUGUCACUGAAUGCAGCUCCCUCAAGAUCUCCCUGCUCACAGCCUCGCUGGUGGCCAGCAUCCAGACUGAGCAUUAGUAAAACCAACAAACCAAACAGUUCCCACAGUAAGUCCCUUGCUCUCCAGUUA